rnacentral:rRNA from 1 species
CAGUCGCCACGGUAAUACAGAGGGUGCGAGCGUUAAUCGGAUUUACUGGGCGUAAAGCGUGCGUAGGCGGCUUUUUAAGUCGGAUGUGAAAUCCCUGAGCUUAACUUAGGAAUUGCAUUCGAUACUGGGAAGCUAGAGUAUGGGAGAGGAUGGUAGAAUUCCAGGUGUAGCGGUGAAAUGCGUAGAGAUCUGGAGGAAUACCGAUGGCGAAGGCAGCCAUCUGGCCUAAUACUGACGCUGAGGUACGAAAGCAUGGGGAGCAAACAGGAUUAGAUACCCGUGUAGUCCCUGUCUUUUAUAC